rnacentral:misc_RNA from 1 species
GAUUUGAUAGCUCGAUACCUUUUCUCCAGGAGUAAAUAUGCAAUAUCAAGACCAGCUACGAUAGGUUUAACACUAGCACCAAUGACAGGAGCUUUCUUUUUACUACUCAACAAUAGUCACAUUUCACUUUAUAUUAGCACAGCUAUAAUUGGAAUUUGCACUGGAGCAAUCACUUCAAUUUCAGUGUCACAAACCACUGAACUAUUUGGGACCAAAA